rnacentral:lncRNA from 1 species
GAGUCCAGCCACUGUCUGGGUACUGCCAGCCAUCGGGCCCAGGUCUCUGGGGUUGUCUUACCGCAGUGAGUACCACGCGGUACUACAGAGACCGGCUGCCCGUGUGCCCGGCAGGUGGAGCCGCCCGCAUCAGCGGCCUCGGGGAAUGGAAGCGGAGAACGCGGGCAGGUAAUACCGGGGCCAGCGCCGCCCCUCCCUUGCGCCCCUCACUGCUGGGCAGGCUGGCUGGCGCGCGCGCGCGCACGCAGGGGUCUUUUAAAUCCCGGCCGGAAUACAAAGGCCGGGGCCGCGCGUGCGCACUGUGGCCUGGUCGGCCUUUCCUUCCCUGGCUGCGGCGGUGGUGGUGGAGGUCGGGGCUGCUCUGAGGGUUACCUGGUGCACCUGGACCCUUCUUUGGUUCCCCGCGAUAACCAGUUGACUAUAAAAUAUAUUAGUAAGCAUUCAGCAGUCUUUGGUUAAUGUGUCUUUCUGGAUGCCAUUCUUGGCUAGAAGGGUUUUCCGUCACCCUCCAUUACCACGCAGAGAGCUGUAAAGAUGAGUGUCGAACAUUUCCAGCUCCAGGAGUUUUCAUUUUAAAGUUGGUUGAUUUGUUGCGGCUUCCCCCCACCCCAAAGGCCUACUGAAAGCAACUUUAAGGGUCACGGGUUAGAUAAUUUUGUUGUGGGCAUAUGUAUACACUCUCGAGUAGUCAAUCUAAAAAUGACCUUUGAGUUUUCCAGUGGCCUUGGGGACGAUCUUAAGAAUCCGUUUUUAAAAAGUCCUUUGGGGGAGUCAAGAGAAAAAUUUGCAAAAGCAGGAGAUUUAGGGACUUGAACUCCUGGCGGAAGACUAAAUUUUUAAAAAAUGGAUAUGGUGACAGUUUUUUAAAAGAUAAAGAGUGAUGAUUUACAUUGAAAUUAAAA